rnacentral:rRNA from 1 species
UACAGAGGUCUCAAGCGUUGUUCGGAUUCAUUGGGCGUAAAGGGCGCGUAGGCGGCGCGGUAAGUCGGGUGUGAAAUCUCGGAGCUUAACUCCGAAACUGCAUUCGAUACUGCCGUGCUUGAGGACUGGAGAGGAGACUGGAAUUUACGGUGUAGCGGUGAAAUGCGUAGAGAUCGGGAGGAACACCAGAGGCGAAGGCGGCGACCUGGACAGGCACUGACACUCAACUGCGAAAGCGUGGGGAGCAAACAGG